ACGAAAAAUAACGAUACGGGACUCAUCCGAGGCCCCGUAAUCGGAAUGAGUACACUCUAAAUCCUUUAACGAGGAUCAAUUGGAGGGCAAGUCUGGUGCCAGCAGCCGCGGUAAUUCCAGCUCCAAUAGCGUAUAUUAAAGUUGUUGCGGUUAAAAAGCUCGUAGUCGAAUUUGUGUCCCGCGCCGCCGGUUCAUCGCUCGCGGUGUCAACUGGCGUGUCCGCGGGACGUCCUGCCGGUGGGCUCAGCCCCUACGGGGGCGGCCCAAUCUCAAUCCCACCGCGGUGCUCUUCACUGAGUGUCGAGGUGGGCCGGCACGUUUACUUUGAACAAAUUAGAGUGCUUAAAGCAGGCUAAAACCUCGCCUGAAUACUGUGUGCAUGGAAUAAUGGAAUAGGACCUCGGUUCUAUUUUGUUGGUUUUCGGAACCCCGAGGUAAUGAUUAAUAGGAACGGAUGGGGGCAUUCGUAUUGCGACGUUAGAGGUGAAAUUCUUGGAUCGUCGCAAGACGGACAGAAGCGAAAGCAUUUGCCAAAAACGCUUUCAUUGAUCAAGAACGAAAGUUAGAGGUUCGAAGGCGAUCAGAUACCGCCCUAGUUCUAACCAUAAACGAUGCCAGCUAGCGAUCCGCCGACGUUCCUCCGAUGACUCGGCGGGCAGCUUCCGGGAAACCAAAGCUUUUGGGUUCCGGGGGAAGUAUGGUUGCAAAGCUGAAACUUAAAGGAAUUGACGGAAGGGCACCACCAGGAGUGGAGCCUGCGGCUUAAUUUGACUCAACACGGGAAACCUCACCAGGCCCGGACACCGGAAGGAUUGACAGAUUGAGAGC
rnacentral:rRNA from 1 species